rnacentral:tRNA from 1 species
GGCCAUGUAGCUUAGUGGUAGAGCACUUACCUAGUGUGUAUGAAGCCCUGGGUUCGAUCCCUGUCUCCA